GAUGAAGAACGUAGCGAAAUGCGAUAAGUAAUGUGAAUUGCAGAAUUCAGUGAAUCAUCGAAUCUUUGAACGCACCUUGCGCUCUUUGGUAUUCCGAAGAGCAUGCCUGUUUGAGUGUCAUGAAAAUAUCAACCUUGACUUGGGUUUUGUGCUCUAGUCUCGGCUUGGAAUUGGGUGCUUGCCGCUUUUACGAGCGGCUCACCUUAAAUGUAUUAGCUGGAUCUGACUUUGAGACUUGGUUUGACUUGGCGUAAUAAGUAUUUCGCUAAGGACAUUCUUCGGAGUGGCCUCGUUUCUAGGACGCUUGUCCGCUUUCCAAUACAAGUUCCACCUCGUGGACAUGACUUUUUAUUAUCUGGCCUCAAAUCAGGUAGGACUACCCGCUGAACUUAAGCAUAUCAAUAAGCGGAGGA
rnacentral:misc_RNA from 1 species